UGGGCCCUGGUGGAGGGUUCACUUUGGA
rnacentral:piRNA from 1 species